AACAUUGGAUAGAGACAAACGUUUUGUUAACAGGCUAAAUCGCGUUGUGGAUAAAUAUAUUAGUACAGUAGACGAAUUUAGCUUCUAUACGAUUGAAAAAAAUUAUAAAUACAACUUUUAUGGUUUCUGUUCUCGUCCUGACCUAUCUCUCUUCCUUAACAUUUUGUUAUCUUCAACACAGUUUUAUGUAGAGGAAUAUAUAGACAUAGAAAUUGUUU
rnacentral:lncRNA from 1 species